GACCCUAUAACUCAGUCGGUUAGAGUGUGGAGCUAAUACGAGAUGUUACUCCAAAGUCGCCAGUUCGAGCCUGGUUAGGGUCA
rnacentral:tRNA from 1 species